CCUACGGGUGGCUGCAGUGGGGAAUAUUGGACAAUGGGGGCAACCCUGAUCCAGCCAUGCCGCGUGUGUGAAGAAGGCCCUCGGGUUGUAAAGCACUUUCAGUGAGGAAGAACGCCUGGUGGUUAAUACCCAUCAGGAAAGACAUCACUCACAGAAGAAGCACCGGCUAACUCCGUGCCAGCAGCCGCGGUAAUACGGAGGGUGCGAGCGUUAAUCGGAAUUACUGGGCGUAAAGCGCGCGUAGGUGGCUUGAUAAGCCGGUUGUGAAAGCCCCGGGCUCAACCUGGGAACGGCAUCCGGAACUGUCAAGCUAGAGUGCAGGAGAGGAAGGUAGAAUUCCCGGUGUAGCGGUGAAAUGCGUAGAGAUCGGGAGGAAUACCAGUGGCGAAGGCGGCCUUCUGGACUGACACUGACACUGAGGUGCGAAAGCGCGGGUAGCAAACAGGAUUAGAUACCCGUGUAGUC
rnacentral:rRNA from 1 species